CAGCCUCCUGCUCUCGAUUUAACUGGAAGCUGGUGACAGCCACAUAAAGAGGAGUUCUGAAAGGGACAUCUGAAUGAAAAGGGGGCCUCUUGUUCCCUCCAGCGGCUGGUGAAACCCUCCUGCCUUCUGAUUCCUUAGGCUCUGUCUGUGGCACAGGAGCUACUCCUCACCCUUGUCCCCUGCCUGUGGAUGGAAGCCUCGGCCUUGGUCAUCACCCGUCAGGCAGGUGCCGGCAGUGCUGAUGUUGGCUGGAGGGAGCUCACGCUGCUGCCCCAGAACUUCCAGGUGCUAAAUUACUGCUUCCUCAAUUAAUGAAUGACAUGAACAGAGCUGUGCUGUAGGAAGAGGAAUCUGGCAGCAAGGUUUAAACCAGAUCAGCAAGAAGGGAGAGACUGGAUACAGGGAGACUGGUGAGCACACUAUUAUUCAUUUCCAAUCCCUAAACUAGGUUAGUGGGAAUGGGAAUCGAAAGUAGAUUGACACUGUGGAUAUAGAAUCAGGAUUACUAUUUUGUCGUAAUUGUUUGUGAUCCUCUUCCUCAAUGGACUGAAAAUUCCAUGAAAGCAAGAAGUGUAUCUUAUUUGACUUUAAAUCCCCACCCCCUAACAAUCACUAGCACAUACGAGCGCUCAACAUGUAUUAAAUGAGUUUGUGGAGUAAAUGUUGACUUGC
rnacentral:lncRNA from 1 species